rnacentral:rRNA from 1 species
UGAAUUCUUCGGAAUGGACAUAGAUACAAGCUAGCGGCGGAUGGGUGAGUAACGCGUGGGUAACCUGCCCUUAAGUCUGGGAUACCAUUUGGAAACAGAUGCUAAUACCGGAUAAAAGCUACUUUCGCAUGAAAGAAGUUUAAAAGGCGGCGUAAGCUGUCGCUAAAGGAUGGACCUGCGAUGCAUUAGCUAGUUGGUAAGGUAACGGCUUACCAAGGCGAUGAUGCAUAGCCGAGUUGAGAGACUGAUCGGCCACAUUGGGACUGAGACACGGCCCAAACUCCUACGGGAGGCAGCAGUAGGGAAUCUUCCACAAUGGACGCAAGUCUGAUGGAGCAACGCCGCGUGAGUGAAGAAGGUUUUCGGAUCGUAAAGCUCUGUUGUUGGUGAAGAAGGAUAGAGGUAGUAACUGGCCUUUAUUUGACGGUAAUCAACCAGAAAGUCACGGCUAACUACGUGCCAGCAGCCGCGGUAAUACGUAGGUGGCAAGCGUUGUCCGGAUUUAUUGGGCGUAAAGCGAGCGCAGGCGGAUUGAUAAGUCUGAUGUGAAAGCCUUCGGCUCAACCGAAGAACUGCAUCAGAAACUGUCAAUCUUGAGUGCAGAAGAGGAGAGUGGAACUCCAUGUGUAGCGGUGGAAUGCGUAAAUAUAUGGAAGAACACCAGUGGCGAAAGC